rnacentral:tRNA from 1 species
GGUAGAAUGGCUGAGUAUAGGUAAUAAACUGUAAAUUUAUUUAGGAGGAGCACCUCUUCUAUCA